rnacentral:rRNA from 1 species
GAUGAACGCUGGCGGUAUGCUUAACACAUGCAAGUCGAACGGACUCUUCGGAGUUAGUGGCGGACGGGUGAGUAACGCGUGAGAAUCUGGCUUUGGGUUCGGGACAACCACUGGAAACGGUGGCUAAUACCGGAUGUGCCGAGAGGUAAAAGAGAAAUUGCCAGAAGAUGAGCUCGCGUCUGAUUAGCUAGUUGGUGAGGUAAAGGCUCACCAAGGCAGCGAUCAGUAGCUGGUCUGAGAGGAUGACCAGCCACACUGGGACUGAGACACGGCCCAGACUCCUACGGGAGGCAGCAGUGGGGAAUUUUCCGCAAUGGGCGAAAGCCUGACGGAGCAAUACCGCGUGAGGGAAGAAGGCUCUUGGGUUGUAAACCUCUUUUCUUAGGGAAGAACAAAAUGACGGUACCUAAGGAAUCAGCAUCGGCUAACUCCGUG